rnacentral:rRNA from 1 species
GUUAAGCGACUAAGCGUACACGGUGGAUGCCCUGGCAGUCAGAGGCGAUGAAGGGCGUGCUAAUCUGCGAUAAGCGCCGGUAAGGUGAUAUGAACCGUUAUAACCGGCGAUACCCGAAUGGGGAAACCCAGUGUGAUUCGUCACACUAUCAUUAACUGAAUCCAUAGGUUAAUGAGGCGAACCGGGGGAACUGAAACAUCUAAGUACCCCGAGGAAAAGAAAUCAACCGAGAUUCCCCCAGUAGCGGCGAGCGAACGGGGAGGAGCCCAGAGCCUGAAUCAGCAUGUGUGUUAGUGGAAGCGUCUGGAAAGGCGCGCGAUACAGGGUGACAGCCCCGUACACAAAAGCGCAUGUGCUGUGAGCUCGAUGAGUAGGGCGGGACACGUGGUAUCCUGUCUGAAUAUGGGGGGACCAUCCUCCAAGGCUAAAUACUCCUGACUGACCGAUAGUGAACCAGUACCGUGAGGGAAAGGCGAAAAGAACCCCGGCGAGGGGAGUGAAAAAGAACCUGAAACCGUGUACGUACAAGCAGUGGGAGCCCCACCACUAAGCCAGUGGUGAACUCCACAUACGCAUCCUUUGCUGAGGAUACGGUUAACGGAGCGAAAGCGACGUUCAACCUCAAAAGAAGCAGAGGGGGCUUAGUGGUGGGGUGACUGCGUACCUUUUGUAUAAUGGGUCAGCGACUUAUAUUCUGUAGCAAGGUUAACCGAAUAGGGGAGCCGGAGGGAAACCGAGUCUUAACCGGGCGUUAAGUUGCAGGGUAUAGACCCGAAACCCGGUGAUCUAGCC